rnacentral:rRNA from 1 species
AGAGUUUGAUCCUGGCUCAGGACGAACGCUGGCGGCGUGCUUAACACAUGCAAGUCGAACGAGAAGAGAUGAGAAGCUUGCUUCUUAUUGAUUCGAGUGGCAAACGGGUGAGUAACGCGUAAGCAACCUGCCCUCUAGAUGGGGACAACAGCUGGAAACGGCUGCUAAUACCGAAUACGUUUUUUCUGUCGCAUGGCAGAGAGAAGAAAGGGAGGCUCUUCGGAGCUUUCGCUGGAGGAGGGGCUUGCGUCUGAUUAGCUAGUUGGAGGGGUAACGGCCCACCAAGGCGACGAUCAGUAGCCGGUCUGAGAGGAUGAACGGCCACAUUGGGACUGAGACACGGCCCAGACUCCUACGGGAGGCAGCAGUGGGGAAUCUUCCGCAAUGGACGAAAGUCUGACGGAGCAACGCCGCGUGAACGAUGACGGCCUUCGGGUUGUAAAGUUCUGUUAUACGGGACGAAUGGUACGACGGUCAAUACCCGUCGUAAGUGACGGUACCGUAAGAGAAAGCCACGGCUAACUACGUGCCAGCAGCCGCGGUAAUACGUAGGUGGCAAGCGUUGUCCGGAAUUAUUGGGCGUAAAGGGCGCGCAGGCGGCGUCGUAAGUCGGUCUUAAAAGUGCGGGGCUUAACCCUGUGAGGGGACCGAAACUGCGAUGCUAGAGUAUCGGAGAGGAAAGCGGAAUUCCUAGUGUAGCGGUGAAAUGCGUAGAUAUUAGGAGGAACACCAGUGGCGAAAGCGGCUUUCUGGACGACAACUGACGUUGAGGCGCGAAAUCCAGGGGAGCAAACGGGAUUAGAUACCCCGGUAGUCCUGGCCGU